rnacentral:SRP_RNA from 1 species
GCUGGGCAUGGUAGUGCGUGCCUGUAGUCCCAGCUACUUGGGAGGCUGAGGCAGAAGAAUCACUUGAACUCAGGAGGCGGAGGUUGCAGUGAGCCUAGAUCAUGCUACUGCACUCCAGCCUGGGUGACAGAGUGAGACUCCGUCUCAA